GUAGGGGGCUAGUCGCUAGGUGGCCCAGUUGCUGUGCUGAGCUGAGCUGCUGAUGGCCACAUUUAACAUGGCGUUGUAGCGACAGGUUGUAUCACGGCAGCCGAACGUGGCAGACCUUCCUUUCUGUAAAUGAAAUUCAAGGGAGGAACUGCAAAUGUUCGGCGCCAUCUUGUACGAACGAUGUGGUCUGGCGAACGCCUUGCCAAGAUGACCAUGCAUUACCUUCGAGUGUAUUUAAGUUGCAAGUCGAUAGAUUUGCUCCGCAUUUUCCCCGAUACCAGCACCCUGCUUCGCGAGAACUACUCUACGUUGUUCUGGGGGACUUAGACGAACAUCUGAAUCCGAUUUUGAAGAACUCUUGAAUCGAUGGACACUAACAAAAUAUAGCGCGUCAUGCAGAUACUGUGAUCAGCAGAAAAGGUUGGAAGUGCGCUGCCCGGAGAGCAAAUUUGGGUAAAAGAAAAAAACUUAUUCCAACUAGUAAGCCAUUUCCUAAUUCAACCAACAAAAAGGUACACAGUGAAAUUUGCUUAACAAUUAUGUUUCUUUAAUUGAUUUUAAAUUGGGAAACGGUGGAAAGAAAAACUUUGUUCUCUGGUAGUUUUUUAGCUACAAUCCUUUUUGUUCAAAUUAAUUUUUGACAUUGUUUACUUCAUUUUCGAAUGGUUCCGUUCACAUUUGUUGUUCAUGUGAAAUGUUAUAUUUACCGGUUACUGCAUUAUACUUACCACUAUUGCAAGAUGUUUGUCGAGGAAUUACUACUGUUAUAUUUAUACGGAAUGUUGUGUGGGAGUCCAUCAGGAAUUGCUGGUCUGCAGUAAAUUUGUCAGCUAGGUGAUGAAGAUCAAUGAAUCAGAAAAUGUUUUGCAUUGGUGGUAAAUGUUCUGACAGUUUGAAUAGUUGUGAUGUGGUGUAUUUCACUUCCACACAUCAUGGUAUUUUUAUCUAUCAGUUGAAUUGUGGGGUUAAUUUACUGUUCGUGUAACCACAUUUCCUCUUGACUCAUCUAGUAGAAGUUGGUGACCUGAAACAAUGAACAUGGAAAAAUCACCUGUGCCCACGCUGACGAUGAUACCUGUACUGAAGUGCUGGAAACUAAAAUUAAUUUUCUUUACAAUUUGGUUUCAGGCCAUCUUUAUAAUUUUUUAAUAGUUUUGCCUUUAUUGAUGAGUCUGCAAGCUCUUAGGUGAUCUACUCCUUUAGAUACCGCCUGUCGACGAUUUGACAGCCUCACACAAUUAAAGAACGUAUGCCAAAAAUCCAGGCCAAAGUGAGCUCUUCCGAGCAGAAAAGUGGCGGCGUAUCCAUUUAAUUGAAAAUAGGCACAAGAUAACGCACAAUUGGCGUCCUUGUCUCAAUGGGGAAAUUUUUCCGUGGAUCUUAUGACCGAAAUGCCAUUGUAGCUGUUCAAAAAAAGAAAAUUGUAUUAUCAUACAGAUGUUGACUAGCUAACAAUCCAGAGAUAGUUCAACUUGCGAAAUUUCUAGAUGUGUGUGAAGCGCAAUCAGCAUCCUUGUUGAACUGUGAACCCAAAUCAUGUAUUUUCCUAGAAAUAUCUAGGUUUUUGGAUAAAUAAA